rnacentral:rRNA from 1 species
ACUCAAAGGAAUAGACGGGGGCCCGCACAAGCAGCGGAGCGUGUGGUUUAAUUCGAUGCAACGCGAAGCACCUUACCGGGGCUUGACAUGCGCAGGCACCAGGGGUAAUGCCCUGUUCCUUCGGGACCUGUGCACAGGUGCUGCAUGGCUGUCGUCAGCUCGUGCCGUGAGGUGUUGGGUUAAGUCCCCUAACGAGCGCAACCCCUGGGGUCCGUUGUAGUUUUCGGGCCCGACUGCCGCGCGCAACGCGGAGGAAGGUGGGGAUGACGUCAAGUCAGCACGGCCCUGACGUCCCGGGCGACACACACGCUACAAUGGCCGCGACAAUGGGUUGCCAACCCGCGAGGGGGAGCCAAUCCCAGGCAAACGCGGUCUCAGUUCGGAUUGCAGGCUGCAACUCGCCUGCAUGAAGCUGGAGUUGCUAGUAACCGCGGGUCAGCACACCGCGGUGAAUACGUUCCCGGGCCUUGUACACACCGCCCGU